rnacentral:lncRNA from 1 species
AUGAGUUACAGGUUCUGCCCUCAAGAGAAAUUGAGCGGCCCAUCUGAAGUGGAUUCGUGGGACGUCGAUGGACAGAUGGACAGACAAAGGCCACCUAGCGGGAUUUUUCAUAAGCAAGUUUCCACAGCAAGCCAGGUUCAGAGGUUCAGUCCGUUAUCAUCAAGGCGGGAGCAUGGCAGCAUCCAGGCAGGCAUGGCACAGGCAGAGCUGAGAGUUCUACGUCUUCAUCGAAAGGCUACUAGUGGAAGACUGACUUCCAGGCACCUAGGACUUAAGCUGAGACAGCAACAUUCAAGAUCUCAGCAUAUCUUGCAGACCUAAGGUGCCAGGAAUGCUGAUACACACCUGUGUCCCACCCUUUGGAACAGUAAGCCCCAAAUUAAAUGCCUUUUAUAAGCUGCAUGGCUGUGCUGUUUUGUGACG